GUGCUCGCUUCAGCAGUACAUAUACUAAAAUUGGAAUGAUACAGAGAAGAUUAGCAUGGUUCCUGCACAAGGAUGACUCGAAAAUUCAUGAAGUGUUCCAUAUUAAA